rnacentral:rRNA from 1 species
AGUGAACGCUGGCGGUAGGCCUAACACAUGCAAGUCGAACGGCAGCACAGUAAGAGCUUGCUCUUACGGGUGGCGAGUGGCGGACGGGUGAGGAAUACAUCGGAAUCUACUUUUUCGUGGGGGAUAACGUAGGGAAACUUACGCUAAUACCGCAUACGACCUACGGGUGAAAGCAGGGGAUCUUCGGACCUUGCGCGAUUGAAUGAGCCGAUGUCGGAUUAGCUAGUUGGCGGGGUAAAUGCCCACCAAGGCGACGAUCCGUAGCUGGUCUGAGAGGAUGAUCAGCCACACUGGAACUGAGACACGGUCCAGACUCCUACGGUAGGCAGCAGUGGGGAAUAUUGGACAAUGGGCGCAAGCCUGAUCCAGCCAUACCGCGUGGGUGAAGAAGGCCUUCGGGUUGUAAAGCCCUUUUGUUGGGAAAGAAAAGCAGCAGGUUAAUACCCCGCUGUUCUGACGGUACCCAAAGAAUAAGCACCGGCUAACUUCGUG